rnacentral:rRNA from 1 species
AGAGUUUGAUCCUGGCUCAGAAUGAACGCUGGCGGCGUGCUUAACACAUGCAAGUCGCACGAGAACGCUUCAGCUUGCUGAAGUUAGUAAAGUGGCGCACGGGUGAGUAACGCGUGGGUAAUCUACCCCCGAAUUGGGGAUAACAUCGCGAAAGCGAUGCUAAUACCGAAUGAUAUCUUGAAAACUCUGUUUUCUGGAUUAAAGAUGGCCUCUACAUGUAAGCUAUUGUUUGGGGAUGAGCCCGCGUACCAUUAGCUUGUUGGUAGGGUAAUGGCCUACCAAGGCAACGAUGGUUAGCUGGUCUGAGAGGAUGAUCAGCCACACUGGAACUGACACACGGUCCAGACUCCUACGGGAGGCAGCAGUGAGGAAUUUUGCGCAAUGGGGGAAACCCUGACGCAGCAACGCCGCGUGAGUGAUGAAGGCUUUCGGGUCGUAAAGCUCUGUCAAGUGGGAAGAAACCAUAUGGUAUUAAUACCGCCAUAUGUUGACGGUACCAUUGAAGGAAGCACCGGCUAACUCCGUGCCAGCAGCCGCGGUAAUACGGGGGGUGCGAGCGUUAUUCGGAUUUACUGGGCGUAAAGAGCGCGUAGGCGGUCUUUUAAGUCAGGUGUGAAAGCCCGGGGCUCAACCCCGGAAGUGCACUUGAAACUAAGAGACUUGAGUAUGGGAGAGGGAAAUGGAAUUCCUGGUGUAGCGGUGAAAUCCGUAGAUAUCAGGAAGAACACCGAUGGCGAAGGCAAGCUUCUAGCCAUAGACUGACGCUGAGGCGCGAAAGCGUGGGGAGCGAACAGGAUUAGAUACCCUGGUAGUCCACGCUGUAAACGAUGUGCACUGGGUGUAGGAGACGUUGAGUUUUCUGUGCCGUAGCUAACGCGUUAAGUGCACCGCCUGGGGAGUAUGCUCGCAAGGGUGAAACUCAAAGGAAUUGACGGGGGCCCGCACAAGCGGUGGGGCAUGUGGUUUAAUUCGAUCGAUACGCGAGGAACCUUACCAGGGCUUGACAUGUACCUGAAGGCUAAAGAGAUUAAGUCGACCUUUAGGGGACGGGUACACAGGUGCUGCAUGGCUGUCGUCAGCUCGUGUCGUGAGAUGUUGGGUUAAGUCCCGCAACGAGCGCAACCCUUACUGUCUGUUACCAGCAGGUCUUCGGACGCUGGGGACUCAGAUAGAACUGCCGGUGACAAACCGGAGGAAGGUGGGGAUGACGUCAAGUCAUCAUGGCCCUUAUGUCCUGGGCUACACACGUGCUACAAUGGUCGGUACAAAGCGUUGCGAGACGGUGACGUCCUUAGCAAAUCGCAAAAAGCCGAUCUCAGUUCGGAUUGGAGUCUGAAACCCGACUCCAUGAAGUUGGAAUCGCUAGUAAUCGCGCAUCAGAAUGGCGCGGUGAAUAUGUUCCCGGGCCUUGUACACACCGCCCGUCACACCACCCGAGUUGGGGGUACCCGAAGUCGCUAGUCUAACUCCUUGGAGAGGACGGUGCCGAAGGUAUGCCUGGUAAGGGGGGUGAAGUCGUAACAAGGUA